rnacentral:rRNA from 1 species
AUUGAACGCUGGCGGCAGGCUUAACACAUGCAAGUCGAGCGAGCGGCGGACGGGUGAGUAAUGUCUGGGAAACUGCCUGAUGGAGGGGGAUAACUACUGGAAACGGUAGCUAAUACCGCAUACCAUCAGAUGUGCCCAGAUGGGAUUAGCUCGUGGGUGGGGUAAUGGCUCACCUAGGCGACGCUCCAUAGCUGGUCUGAGAGGAUGACCAGCCACACUGGAACUGGGACACGGUCCAGACUGCGACGGGAGGCAGCAGUGGGGAAUAUUGGGCAAUGGGCGCAAGCCUGAUGCAGCCAUGCCGCGUGUAUGAAGAAGGCCUUCGGGUUGUAAAGUACUUUCAGCGGGGAGGCGUUACCCGCAGAAGAAGCACCGGCUAACUCCGUGCCAGCAGCCGCGGUAAUAC